UUUGCCCUACGGGGGGCAGCAGUGGGGAAUAUUGGGCAAUGGGCGCAAGCCUGACCCAGCAACGCCGCGUGAAGGAAGAAGGCCCUCGGGUUGUAAACUUCUUUUAUCAGGGACGAAACAAAUGACGGUACCUGAUGAAUAAGCCACGGCUAACUACGUGCCAGCAGCCGCGGUAAUACGUAGGUGGCAAGCGUUAUCCGGAUUUACUGGGUGUAAAGGGCGUGUAGGCGGGAGAGCAAGUCAGACGUGAAAUUCCAGGG
rnacentral:rRNA from 1 species